CAGCAGUCUGUUCUCACCGUAAUCAAGCCGUGGUGGUGCAGUGGUUAGAAUGCAGUAUUGCAUGCUAUUUCUGCCAACUGCCAGCAGUUCACUUCUCACUGGCUCAAAACUGACUCAGCCUUCCAUCCUUCCAAGAUCUUGAGACAAACAUUUUUAUGCUACUGAUUCUGAGGGGAAAGAGGUGCAGCCUUCUACCAUCUCCAGACCCCUCCAAAUCUGUUCCAAAGGGAUGGGGAAUCUUCCAGUGCACUUCGGAAUGGGAAGGAGCAGGAGGGUGAGAGGCAAAUUCAUUGCCUGAAUAUACAUCCAAUCCCAAAUCCAAUAUUGGAUUUUGCCCCUGAGGUUUUCUAUGAUGAUACAUAGCCAAGAAUACAACACUCUUAAUUUAAGAGAAAGGAGAAUAAAAUAGCUACAUUAAAGUUUUUUUUUCCAUUCUGUCUUGUUAAGAGGGUCUGGAACAGUUUUAUGUUUGAUAUAUAUUGAAGAAACUUGCGUCCACAGCUCCCAUAGUAUAUCUCCAGUUAGAAACUAAAUUUAUAUCAGCAGUAUGACAUCCAGAGGCUAAGAAAAAAUGGUG